rnacentral:misc_RNA from 1 species
UAAAUUCUCGGAUGCAUUCCGGCCUUGGGCGCCUCCCGAUCCGCCGACUCCGGUGGGUCAGGUCGCCUGAAAUUAAACAGCGACGGUUCGCGAAACCGCGACCGGCCACGGCGUAUUACGUUGGGCCUGCCCGACAAACCUUCGCCUAUGUUGCCAACGCAGCUCCGACGUCGUUAUCGCAGAAACGCUUGUUGUGACUUCCCUCUCCGGGGUUGACAUGACGACGCACUUC